rnacentral:rRNA from 1 species
CAGUAGCCGCGGUAAUACAGAGGGUGCGAGCGUUAAUCGGAUUUACUGGGCGUAAAGCGUGCGUAGGCGGCUUUUUAAGUCGGAUGUGAAAUCCCUGAGCUUAACUUAGGAAUUGCAUUCGAUACUGGGAAGCUAGAGUAUGGGAGAGGAUGGUAGAAUUCCAGGUGUAGCGGUGAAAUGCGUAGAGAUCUGGAGGAAUACCGAUGGCGAAGGCAGCCAUCUGGCCUAAUACUGACGCUGAGGUACGAAAGCAUGGGGAGCAAACAGGAUUAGAUACCCCUGUAGUCCCUGUCUCUUAUAU